GAUGAAGAACGUAGCGAAAUGCGAUAAGUAAUGUGAAUUGCAGAAUUCAGUGAAUCAUCGAAUCUUUGAACGCAUCUUGCGCUCCUUGGUAUUGCGAGGAGCAUGCCUGUCCGAGCGUCAUUGCUGCCCUCAAGCACGGCUUGUGUGUUGGGCCUCCGUCCUCCUCCCGGGGGACGGGCCCGGAAGGCAGCGGCGGCACCGCGUCCGGUCCUCGAGCGUAUGGGGCUUCGUCACCCGCUCUUGUAGGCCCGGCCGGCGCUUGCCGACACAUCAAUCUUUUUUCCAGGUUGACCUCGGAUCAGGUAGGGAUACCCGCUGAACUUAAGCAUAUCAAUAAGCGGAGGA
rnacentral:misc_RNA from 1 species